rnacentral:rRNA from 1 species
UACAGAGGGUGCAAGCGUUGUUCGGAAUUAUUGGGCGUAAAGCGCGCGCAGGCGGUUUCUUAAGUCUGAUGUGAAAGCCCACGGCUCAACCGUGGAGGGUCAUUGGAAACUGGGGAACUUGAGUGCAGAAGAGAAAAGCGGAAUUCCACGUGUAGCGGUGAAAUGCGUAGAGAUGUGGAGGAACACCAGUGGCGAAGGCGGCUUUUUGGUCUGUAACUGACGCUGAGGCGCGAAAGCGUGGGGAGCAAACAGG